ensembl:snRNA U6 U6 spliceosomal RNA
GUGCUCAUUUUGGCAGCUUAUGUACUAAAAUUGGAACAAUACAGAGAAGAUUAGCACGGCCCCCACGCAAGGAUGACGUGUAAACUCGUGAAGCCUGCCAUGUUUUU